GGGAGAGGGUUGGGGAUGAAAGGUGCCUUGCCAGCAACACCAUCUCCUACAAACUGACAUUUCAGAAACAAUAAUGACUAGUUCAGUUACAUGGCUGGAAAGUGGGAAUGAAGGAUACCAUUGCUAGCAUUGGGCACGUGUCUGUAUAUAUAUGCAAUCCCUUGCUGCUCAGCCCCCGUCAUAGCUCAGAAAGCAUCAAAAGCCUCUGCUCUCUAGAACUGAAGCCAAGGCCAUCCAUGCCCCAACCACAGGAUCCCAGUGACCAACAGUCAGUGAAACAGAAAGGAUCUCGGGACAUCAGCCGGUCGGGAGGAUUCCUGGAAGCUGCCUGCUUCUCGUGCUGACACACAGACGGUGGUGCAGGGGAGAUAGACCCACUCGAGCCUUAUCAGGCUGCUCUCCUCAGGGCGUCGCCUGCGGCAGGCCCUCCACCCUAACCACAGCAAGUCCGCCUGCUCACAACAUUCCAGCCUCCCCCCACCUCCACCCUUAUCAGCACCAAGCAACCAGAGGGACGCUGAGUGAAUGGUUAACUGGAGAAACCCUCUUUUGGGGUAUGCAAAUGAAGCCAGCCCAUAAUAAGGAUGUAAGAGGGAGUGUGUGUCUCUGUGUGUGUCUGAGAGAGCAAAAGCGAGACAGCAAGAGAGAGAGCGAGUAUGAGCGAGGGCGUGAGUGUGAGGGCCAGAGAGAGAGAGUGAGUGUGUGUGUGAGGGAGAGGGAGAGAAACCGGGGAGGGGUGGAGGGAGAACAAGAGGGAGACCAAGGCAAUAAAGAGGCAAGUCUGAGCUCUCGAGCCUGAGGCACUGGUCAGUGGCAGGAGAGUGCGGGAACCACGAACCCUGCAUUGGGAGGGAGUGUCGUUUCUCACAGGAGAUGGAGAGAGAGAACGAAAUGGGCCAAUUAAAAGCAGGAGACCUCUCUUCCUGCUCCAAACCCCAACUUUCCCAGCAGCAGGCGGUGGGCGGAGGUCAGUUAACCCCGGAGCGGCGAAAGGUGAGGAACGCAGCUCAGAAGUUCGAGGCAUUGAGACCGAUUCGAAUGUAAAGCAAAGGUGGUCAAGAUCGGAGCAAAUGCUUUACACAAGCGGACACCGAAGAGGUGCCUUGUGCUCGGGACAGGAUAUCAUCAUAUACUGUAAGUUCACCAUUAUGUUACUACAGUAUAGAUGAUGUACUAUCCAGGGCUUGACUGUCCAACGAGUCCAAGUUCCAACCAUCACUUUCAGUGAACAAGAGAUCUGUUGAGGUGUGAAUCCAAAGAGCACGGAAAGUCCUCACCCACUGGUGUUAAAGAGCAGUAUGUUGUCACUGAUUCCUGCUGUCGCUGGCAGCUUGCACCCUCAUUUGUUUGCCAGUUUUGUUUUCAGUAGGAUGAUGUUCUUUGUCUGAAAGUCCCACACAAGUUGCAGAACUGUGCUGAAUUCCUUGCUUAAACACCCCCAUGACUGCAAAGUUUGUGCAUGCUCUUGGUGUUCAGUGAAUUCUUUCUCCAGGUCCCUGCCACUCUCGUUUUACAUUGAAAAUCCCUGCUCCCCUCCCUCUGCAUUUACUCUCAGGACGGACUACUGGAUACCGAGGGGGUGUCGGUUAAACCGUUACCAUUACUUGUUUAAGUACUGGUGACGGUUAUAAUCGCUGCUCCCAGAAGCAACUCAGCAGCUGGACAGAGGAGGGGGAAACAUCUGCAUCUCUUCUGAUUUUAAUCCAGCUUCCAUCUCACAGGAAACAUCUCUCUAAUAGCGUUAAUCCGGGCUCCCCACACAGUUUAACCGUGCUCCACCAGCUCCAUGUUAUAAAAUGUAUCGCCACUGAUGUUGGCCCAGCUCCCUCACUAACUCCUCUCCCCACCACUGUGUUAUUUGCUCUUUCUCCACUGAUGUUAAUCCAGGUCCCCCCGAGGACCAGUGACACUGACGUUAUCUUUGCUGCUGUUGAACCAGCACCCUGUGUAACUCAAUGCAUCUCCACUGACAGACACAGUGCCAGUAGGGAUUGCAUCAGCGUUGGUAACAUUCUCCCUCCCAAGCAGACAACAAACUAUAACCUGGACCAAUUUAAAGUACGGAGGAAGAUCACUUGCCAGCUCCUGCUCUAUCACCUUCCAGCCUCUGUGUCACUAUCUCCACCCCUCCCUCCUCACCUGGAUCCACCUAUCGCCUGCCAGCUCCUGCCUCACCCCCUCCCCCUCACCUCUUUAUACUGGCUAUCUCCCCUCUACACUCUCAGCCCUGGUGCAGGCUCUUAAUCCGAAAUGUUGACUAUCCCUUUGCCUGAUGCUGCCUGACCCGCUGAGUUCCCCGGCAGCUUGUCUUUUGAAACCAAAAGUACCCCUGGACAAAUAAUGUCAUCUUGAUGCAUUGCACAAUGCCACAGACGUCAUCUUCUGAAGCCAGUUCCAGUGACCAGUCAGCCCCGCACCAGGCUUAGCUCUAACAGCUUUGACUGGUUUCUAACCUUUCCCACCCUUGUGGCCUGUGCUUUCCUUCCACUAGUGCAGUGAGGCAUUCAGACAUAUGCACAGGCGGGGAACAGAGAGAGAGAGACGAUGUGCAGGCAAAUGGGAUGUUAGAUUGGAACUGGUGGGCCGAAGGGCCUGUUCCUGUGCUGUACUGUUCAGUGUAAAUGCAAACAGGGCAUUUCUUACUCAGUCUAGUUCACGUUCUGAUGCAAUUGGUCAGUCCAGUGAAUCAGACUGUGGUGCAAGUGAAGGUUUAAAGACAAAAGUUCCCUCCCUGUCCUGAACAGACAGGCUGGGCUCAGCAGCAGGAAUCCCUGACCCAUAUAUAACCUGGCACCAAGGAGCUCCGAACAAUUCAGUCAUGGAAAUGCUGCAGCCGGUGUGUGCAGCACCAUCUCCUACAUAACAAUGUAACGUGAGAAGCUGAUGCUUAUGAACAGAGAAGUGAUUGUUUGAUGGUUAGAGACAGGCCAGGUGAUUUGCACAAAUUCCUCUGCUUUAUUUCAAAAUAGUGCCACGCAAUCUGAGGCAGGGGGGGCCCCCUGAUCAUCCAGAUGGUGGGACCUGCAUCAGUGCUGCACUCCAAGUACUGCCCCAACACUGCAGUGGUCUCUCAGUAGUCCCUCCUCACAUCAGUGCAAAACUCCCUCCAUGUCACCCCUCCAACAGUGCGGUGCUCCCUCGGUAUUGCUCCUCUGAUGGUGCAGUACCCCUGUGCUGACCCUCUGACAGUGCAAAAACUCCCUCCAGUACAGCACUCCCUCAGUAUUGACCCUCUCAAUGUACAGUACUCUCUGUGUGCUAGCAGUGCAGCACUCCCCUUGUACUGCCGCUGACAGUGCAGCCCCCCACCCCCGACAGUGGAUUUUAUGCUCCACUCUCUGCUGCAGAUUGUGAAUGCAGAACCUUCAGACUGGAGAUAAGAGUGCUCCCCACCGGGCCAUCUCUCUCAAACAGACAGUUCUUGCUUAAGCCGAGGCGCUGGAAGAUUGAUUGCGGCCCACAGCAGCCGCUGGGUGUUUGGGCAGGCAGGGAGCCCCUGCUUUUGAUGGGAGUGAUUAUCUAACCAAAUGCCAAGUGUGGAUAAAGCCUUACUGCAGCAACUUCUAUCAGACACUUAACGGAUCAGUCACCACUCUCCUUAGAUGAGUCAAUUCCCCUUUUCCUCACGGCUUCCUUCCUCUGUGCAUUUGCUGCGGCUUAAGAUCAGUCAGGUUAUUUUUAAACUUUUGAAGUUCACAGCAACAUUGUUCAACAGUUUUUCAGAAAUAUUCUCUCCGAACACACUGCACGUUGGACCAACAAAACAUACCGUUGGACCCAGCACUCUCACCUUGCAUUAAUCCAUUGCCAUCAUCCUUUGAAGCCAGUGGUGGUGGGAGGGGGGGCAGCCAGCACUCUCCCAGGUGUCCCUUAGUCUCUGUCGGGCUUGUUCAGAACUUUUCUUAGUGUUUGGGAAAUCUUCCAAUCAAUCUGCUUCAAAUGAAAUUCAAUCCAGUAAAUUGUUGCUGCUGAUGCACAGGACAUCAUUUCUGAAUUUCGUUUAGAGGAAUGGGCAAGAGCUUAAAAGGACUUCACUGUAGCCAGAACAUAAGUACGAUCAAAAAUAGCAGAUUACAAAUGACUUGUAAUCUUGAGUUUAGAAGAUGGUGGUAAUCUGUUUGAGGAGUUAAGAGAAUUAGAUACAGGACUCAGAAAUUAUUCUGUUGGGGGUAUGGAAUGCCUCCCGACUUCACCCCUGAACACCCUGGCUGUGAAAGUUCUGUCCCAGGAUCAUUUUACAACCAGUUCUUUUAGGGAUGAGGACAAAAAGCACGAUUGCUCACAAAAUGUGCCAGAGAUCUGGAACUCUCUCCCUUACUGCUGUGAGCCGGAGUGGGACU